rnacentral:rRNA from 1 species
AGUGAACGCUGGCGGCAGGCCUAACACAUGCAAGUCGAACGGCAGCACAGGAGAGCUUGCUCUCUGGGUGGCGAGUGGCGGACGGGUGAGGAAUACAUCGGAAUCUACCUUGUCGUGGGGGAUAACGUAGGGAAACUUACGCUAAUACCGCAUACGACCUACGGGUGAAAGCAGGGGACCUUCGGGCCUUGCGCGAUUAGAUGAGCCGGUGUCCGAUUGGCUCGUUGGCGGGGUAAAGGCCCACCAAGGCGACGAUCGGUAGCUGGUCUGAGAGGAUGAUCGGCCACACUGGAACGGAGCCGCGUUCCAGCAUCCUACGGGGGGCAGCGGUGGGGAAUAUUGGACAAUGGGCGCAAGCCUGAUCCAGCCAGGCCGCGUGGGUGAAGAAGGCCUUCGGGUUGUAAAGCCCUUUUGUUGGGAAAGAAAAGCAAUCGGUUAAUACCCGGUUGUUCUGACGGUACCCAAAGAAUAAGCACCGGCUAACUUCGUGCCAGCCGCCGCCGUAACAC